rnacentral:tRNA from 1 species
UCCCUGGCAGUCCAGUUGUUAAAACUCUGCACUGUCACUGCUGAAGGCCCAGGUUCAAUUCCUGGUCAGGGAA